AUUCACCUUGGGGCUCUUGUUGCCGUUAGCUGCACUUCCCACUCCGCCAACGGCGCCGCCGCCGGUGUUGCCAUUGGAGCUGCGUCCAAAGCCAGGGACAGCUGCGUCGGCUGCAGCAAGGACAUUCAACCACCAAGGCGGAAACGAAGGGCCAGGAGCGGGGUGGUCGGCGAUGGCCCGAAACCGGAAAUUGGUGGUGGAAGACGGUGGAUAAGAAAGUGUAGGGGGGGCUGAAAUGCAAUUUAAGGGUGGCUUUGCAAAGGUGAAGAAUGAACUGGGAUUUGAUGUUGGCAACAUUCGAAAAAUAUGAGCCCAAAGAAACAAAAAAGAAAAGAUUAUCACAUAAUUAUAGUCUCCUUUGUGCGUUGGCAGAUGAGGAGAGAGCUAUGGAGAUUUUUGAGAGAGAGUGACGGAGAGCUGUGCCAGUCCAAC
rnacentral:lncRNA from 1 species